CAGCCGCGCUCGCGCGCGGCGGCAGGGACGCAAUGUAAAGAGGGGGUGUUACGAGAAGCCAUGGCAACUGUAACCGGGGCGCGAGGAGCGGGAUGCAACUUAGCAUUUGUAGCACUGGGCUACGGUGUACCCACACAAAAAGAGCCUGCAAGCCAAUAUACUGUGUAACGUUAUUAAAAACGCAGGCAGACAGCUGGACGGACGGCGCUGGAAGGCUCCUGCAUCCCAGGCAAGUCUGGCACAAACCAUUUCGUCGCCCCCACGCGAACGUGUCGCCGCCGCAAAUCCCGAUAGAACUUAGAGAGCCCGCUCACUGGAAUACAGAGGAGCGGCCACCGGCCCUUUCUCCGCUACACCAUAGAAAAUAGGUCGCUUGGGUGGCAAGCAGGCUUGUGUUUCACCCCACUCUGACCUCAGGCACGGCUAAUGGAUACCCCAUGAGAGGGCGUGCACGCAUCUGCCCAAGUUGAGAUAAUGUUCCGUGCCUCGGAUGAAGUCGACCGUGAAAGACUUACGAAUUUGUUCAUCUCAAAGAGAAUGGGUGUGUCUUUCAAGAAGAAUGGUCUUGGAACUGAUCAGAUUUUUUCAUGGAAUCAAAGAGAGGGGAGGUGAUCCUGGAUUUAUUCCUGAUUGGUGCUGCCUAGGACCUUGUACAAGAUGCGAGUGCUGCUGAACCGGUUAGAAAUAGUGACCAUAGUGUUACCAGAUUUAAGUGGAAAAUUGCCAAAGAAGUCUAACCCAAUCGCAUUUGACUUCCAUUGAGGAAUAUUGUCCAUAAUAUUAAAAAGGAAGUUGAAAGGGAGGGGCAAUAGGGUUAAAUCUCUUCGAAACGCAUGGAGGUCACUCCAGCCAUGUUAACAGGAGCUCUGCCAGAAUGGAUUCCACAGGUUAGGAAAGGUCGCACUAAGUCGAAAUGGUUAUCAACAUAGUUAACAAGUCUAUGAAAGAAGUGAAAGGAGAAAAGAAGGCUUUCUUCAUAAAACAGAAGUCUUGCCCAAAUGAGAACAGAAAAGAGUCACCAUGCAAACAAAAAGUUGCAUGAAGGAGAUGCAGCAGACUGUAAAAAUGCAAAGUAGUGUUUUGAGAAGCUUAUUUUUUUAUCAAUACGAAGGUCAACAAUAAAGAAAUCUUUUAAGGGUGCAAUCCUUUAUAUAUUUAAACAGAAAAAAGUCCAUCAACUCCUAGCAUUCCCAGCUUGCUGGUUGUUGUAGAACUUUCUUCUCCACACCAUGCAUAGUAUCACACUCUAAAUAUAUUGAAAGAAGGAAACCAGCUAGGGUGGCAGUUGGAUUGUUGUAUGACAAUGGAGUUAAAGGAGCACUAAGAAAGAAUAAGGAGACUGUAGGGAAACCGAAUUCUUUUCAUCUAUUUUCCCUGCAGAGGAUGUAGGUAGGACACCUGUGCUUGAAGUAAUGUUUUCAGGAAGAGCAUCUGAGGAACUGAGGCAAACAAUGGUGACAAACAAUUAAGUUUUCAAUUUUAUUAAUAAGCUGAAUGUUAAUAAAUCAGGAUGUUACCCAAGUCAAGAUAUUAUCCAUUCUAGAGUUCUUAAAAAACUCAAAUAUGAAAUUGUAGAACUUCUAACAUAAAUAUGAAACAUACGCCUCAGAUUAACCUCUGUACCGGGGACUGUGGAACAGCCAACGUAAUGCCAGUUAGCAAAAAGAUGUCAGGGGGAAUCAAGGAAAUUACAGGCCAGUCAACUGAAUGUAUGUUUCUGGUAUACUAGUCAAAGGCAUUGCCAGAGAUAAAAUCAGUGAGCAUAUGAAAGGCAAACUGUACUAAAAAAGAAUCAACAUGGGUUUAGCAAAUGUAAGUCUCACUAAUCUUUUAAACUUCUUUGAGGCAGUCAGUAAAGAUGUGGACGGAGAUGAUUUGGUAGACAUCAUUUACUUGGGCUUUCAAGUGCUUUUGAGAAAGCCUCUCGCCACAGACUCCUGAGCAAACUUAGCAGUCAUAGAAAAAAAGAGGAGAGGGCCUCUUAUUGAUUGAACUGGUUAACAGAAAACAGAUAACAGUUAUGAAUUAUACAUCAUCCCAAAGGAGGGAUGUAAACAGUAUGGUCUCACAGGGAUUUGAAUUGAGACCAACGUAUGGCAUUCAAAUAUAAGCUGAGUGUUAUUCUUAUGAAGACCUACAAUGCCAGUAAGAAACUGGGGUCUCAGUCUAGUUGUUAACAAGUGUAUCCUAAUCUAACUUCUGUGAGGGAAACAUCAAGAAAAAAUAGUGUGCCUGUUGAUUCUUGGUAUGGGUUCAAUUACCCAUUCUCACCCAUCCUAGGUUUUCAAGAGGGUGUUGAAUCAGGCUUAACUCUGAUUGUCAACAAGAAUUGUGAAAAUCGUGUCAUGAUUGAUAAUAUCAGCUGGUUCAGAAUAGAGCAUUGCAUUUGUUAACAUGAACUGGCUUGCAUGCCCAUGUUACACCAAUUCCUUACCAACUACAUUGGCUAGCAGUUGAGCUCUGGGCCCAAUUUAAAGUGCUUGUUAUGACAUAUAAAACCCUAAAUGGCUUGGGACCGGGAUCCCUGAAGGAACACCUAGUCCCAUAUGUUCCUACCCAGCCACCAAGAUCAGCUACAGAGGUCCUUCUUAGGAACCACCCCCUAAAGAGGUGAGGGGGUGGCAAACAGGAGAAGGGCCUUUCUGGUAGUUGUACCCCAUCUAUGGAAUAUGCUUCCCCCAAGAACUACACCUGUUUGGCACCAGGUAAAGACGUUUUUAUUCACAAGACAUUUUAAGAAUUGCUGAAUGAAUAUUUUGUAUUUUUAUCACUGCUAUUCCUGAGGGAAUUUUAUUGACUGUUAUCUAUCAGAGUAUAUUGUACUUUACUUUAUGAAUUUUUAUUGUAUUAACUUUUAUCAUAUGAAUUUUAUUGUUAUAUAUUUGUUUUGGAUUGUACACCAGCCAAAGAGCCCAGAGUUUAUAAAUGUAAUAAAUAAAUACAUAAACAUC